UUAUUUUGUGAUGAAUGUUAGGGUUCCUAGCACAUGAGGUUUGUGUAGGGACCUUAUUAGUGAGGCGGUGUAGAGACCCAUGUGUUGUUUGACUCUCGAGCAUCGCAAUUCUUCAGUUUGGAGCAGUUAAGGUUGCUAGAGGGCAGUUUCUGGCGGUUCUGGGGAGAGCUAAUGGUGUGGAUAUUCAAAUUGCAGGGGAGUCGAUGCCAGCAGAUCUGAUUAUCAGCCGUGUAGAGUUGUAUGAUGUUAUUUUGGGAAUGGAUUGGUUGGAUCAUUAUAGAGUACAUCUUGAUUGCCACCGUGGAAGAGUUUCUUUUGAGCGGCCAAAGGGGAGGUUGGUUUAUCAGGGAGUGAGACCUACCUCAGGGAGUCUCAUCAUCUCAGCAAUGUAGGCAGAGAAAAUGAUCGAGAAGGGCUGCGAGGCUUACCUGGUGACGAUAUCUAUGCCGGAGUCUGUGGGGCAGGUAGAAGUGAGCGACAUUUGGGUUGUUCAGGAGUUCAAUCGUUGCAGGGAUUAUUACUAUCACGGUCUGAUCCUUUCACGAUUGAGUUGGAACCAGGGACAGCGCCGUUGU
rnacentral:sRNA from 1 species